rnacentral:tRNA from 2 species
AUCCUAAUAGCUCAACUACAAAGCAAUUUAUUGAAAAUAAAUAGACCUCCUUCAUUAUG